GACGAACGCUGGCGGCGCGCUUAACACAUGCCAGUCGAACGGAAAGGCCCUGCUUUUGUGGGGUGCUCGAGUGGCGAACGGGUGAGUAACACGUGAGUAACCUGCCCUUGACUUUGGGAUAACUUCAGGAAACUGGGGCUAAUACCGGAUAGGAGCUCCUGCUGCAUGGUGGGGGUUGGAAAGUUUCGGCGGUUGGGGAUGGACUCGCGGCUUAUCAGCUUGUUGGUGGGGUAGUGGCUUACCAAGGCUUUGACGGGUAGCCGGCCUGAGAGGGUGACCGGCCACAUUGGGACUGAGAUACGGCCCAGACUCCUACGGGAGGCAGCAGUGGGGAAUAUUGCACAAUGGGCGGAAGCCUGAUCCAGCAACGCCGCGUGCGGGAUGACGGCCUUCGGGUUGUAAACCGCUUUCGCCUGUGACGAAGCGUGAGUGACGGUAAUGGGUAAAGAAGCACCGGCUAACUACGUG
rnacentral:rRNA from 1 species